AAGGAAAGAAGGAAGGAAGGAAAAAAACUCAUCACAGGCAUACCUAACCACUUGGCUAUUAAUUUCAGAUAUAGUAAAAUCGACAACCAAGAAUAGCCAUCACAUCAGUGACAAAUAUAUCUGAAACAAGAGGUUAGAAGAUAGACCAAGGCCACCCAUAUUCUAAGUGAGAGAUUCAGAAUUUAAGGCCAAGACCUUCUAAGUAUAUUGUCCCUCCUCUGACGCUGCAUGACCAGUCUAUAAGUUUUUGAAGAUAGAAAUGUUACUAGCAGGAGUGUAAAUCAUUGGAUCUGAGUGCUGAGCACAGGAGAUGCAGCAGCCUAUAGAUAAGCUCCUGGGACAGAAGAGAAAAAUAAUUAUCAACCCAGCUAAAAAUCCUGUGGCCCACAGAGGUCACCUCCCUGGGAGAUGUGUUGGUCACAAACAUUGUAGGGGUAGCCAACCCCUUUCUGAUUGAAUUUAAGGCCCACUCCAUGACAUGAAACCCAUUUCUGACAUUGCUAAAGUGACUGAGUGUCUGAGACUAGAUAGGUCACGGACAUAGGGAAAGAACAAACACGACUGUUCUCAUGAAUAAGCGUCACAAUAAAAUGACUCCUAAGGACACUCUGCUAUACCCAUAGAUCAGUAUCUUGUUCAUCCAUCAGCAGAGCUUUCUCUUAGAGACCCACAUCUAAGCAAAAUUCAGAGAGUGAGAGACUUUGAAGUACUCAAUUCUCAAUGAGAUGUCUUCAUCAAACCCCUCCCCUCAGGGUUCAAGGAGCCGUGAAGAAGAGGAGACAAGAAGAUUUUAAGAGCCAGAGGUGAUAAAUGACUCCAAUGAAAAGUGUCUUCCAGACACAUGACUGAUGCACACAGGAAGUCACAGAGACUGUGGCAGCAGGCACAGGUUCAAACUAGAUGACACCCUGGUGCCUAGAGGGAGAAGUCAACAUGUGCUCCCACCCCUAACCAAGAAGCUAUCUGGCAAUUGUCCUCCCCAUGUCUCAUGGGUCCAGGAAGCAUCACCAUCUCUAUCUGAGGCAGCUUUGGUGGAAGAGGAGAAAGACAAUGGAGAAUGUCCUACAGAAAAACAAACGCUGGUGCUGGUUCACUGCUCACAGUGUAGAAGCCUCUGUUUGACAAAGGAACCGUUGCAAGCACCAUCACUGAACCGGAGUUGAGUGACUGGGAAGAAAGGCAGUUUCAGACUCUUGACUUUUAAUGGAACUGAAGGACAUCCUAAUGGAAUCAUCAAUGGAUAGACCAUUAUAAUAUUUUCAUGAUAAAUGACUGCAUGACCUUUUUUUACAUCUCUGAAAUAGAUUGCUUGACAGUGCUAGUAAAUCCAUCCCCUCUGACUUAUUUAUAUGAGCAGAUUCUCCAUGCCUGUCUCUGUAACAACAUAAAUGGGAACAAAAAGGAUAUUGUACCCUGCCACAUUCCAGCAGUAAACAGUUCACCAUGGGGAAGAGAAGCUCUCAAGAAAACGCCACUUGACUUACUACU